rnacentral:lncRNA from 1 species
UAGCGUUGUGGCAAUCGGAAGAAAAUCUAGAAGAGUGGGAACAUGCAUAUCUUCCACUACUGGAAGCACAACAUAGCUACAGAGAUGGUGCCAAGAAGGAAGACUUUAUAAUAUAACAAGAAGAAAGCAUCACAAAUGGCUUAAUGGAUCAUCAGGGAAGCAACUUUUAUAGGGUUACUUCUGCAACUCCACUUUAUUUCGUUAUGGGAACUGAAACAGCAACAACAAAAAAGCACAUAUGAAAAAGACAAGCAACAUCUAUAAACUGGCAAGUGAAAAGAGUUGUCAAGGCAUUCCCAGUAAAAAAGCUCUAAACUGUUUGAAACCGAGAUAAUUUCAUCUUAAGCACAAACGACUUUGGCUUUGUCAUUUAGGUAUACAUUGUAGGGCACCUAAGAGGGAGUAGAUAUUCAUGCUAGCACAGGGCAGGAAGUUUGAUGAACUAAUGCAGGUCUAGCAAUUGGAACAAGGACUUUAGACAAAUUAAUGUCCUCCCACAAAAGAGAUAGACACACUUUAGAUGCGCCAAUCAAGAACCUUAUGCAAUGACUGCAUUUAUCACUAGCAUUUUGGAAGCAAUGGGAAUACCAUUUCAUGACCUGUGCUCGACAAAAAGUAGCAAAUAAGGAACGACACUCAUAUAUUGAUGAGUCUAUUCUUUUAGACCCAUCUGCUGUCUUCAUACUGCAAAUCCUGGCGAUGACUACACACAAAUGCUAAGAUAAAGAAGCUCAAAAUGCUCUUAGAAACAUGCAAGUUUUUGACAGUUAAUGGUUCGAAGGAUCAGACGACUGUCCGAGAAACUUAAGAGCUUUUUAGUCAUUCUGGUGCUUAGCACUUUUUCUCUAGGAACUAAAAAGUAUCAGACAAUAUUUCGCAGCAGUUAUCCUGGAUUAUGACCAUUAGGGUCACUCCAUUUCGUUAACAGUGGAAUUAAUCUCUUUACAUAUUUACCCUCUAAUCAUAUCCCAGCUAAUUAGUUUCGAAUGUGGCACUAUUGAUGAUGCAAAUUGAAGCCUGUAAAGAAUUAUCUUCUAGAAGAGAAGAUAGUAAAACCAAGGAUGCUAAACUUUAUACCAAGAUGACAACAAACAUGGAGCUGUUACAAACUACCCACUCGUUGCAUUAUCAUAAUGACAUUCUGGGAUACCACUGAUUGAAGGUCUCUGGUUCAAACAUUAUCCAGCUCUAUAAGAGGAUAACGAACCUUAGCUUAGUCAUGCCAUCUUUCCACUAUUUCGAGAUUAAUCAUCUAAUCCUUCUUUGCAAUUGCUGCAGGGGAAACAGAAGUCAGAAGGUGUGUGUUAUUUGGACUAUGAGAAGCUGCAAGAGAAUAAAAAUUUCCAUCAAAAAAUAGUUCGUUCUGCUUUACAGAUCAGUAUUCAAUGAUGCAGGUCAAAUUAUAGGUGAAGAAAAUGUGAUUAAAGGGAAAAUAACAGAAACUCUGGACCCUCACGUUUUCAGAAGUUACAUGGCCCUGAUACUACUGCCAAACCGAAGUGAGGUACCAGUCUCUUAUAUAGCUGCAUUAGAUCUCAGCAUAACACAGAAACUCUUCCUGUGUUCUGGGGAUUUUUAUCUGGCAGAGUGCCAUAAUAGUUCAGUUGGAGCAAGGAGAUCUGGAAAUGGUUGUUCUGUAUUUUCUGGUAAGAUUGAUCACAGAAGCAGCUCUUGACCCCUCUUAUCAGGUGCCUUUUAACCCAAAUAUGACUGCUCCAUGCUGCCAUGAUUUAGCAUAUACUGAGAUUUGUCCUCAUAUGCUAAUGCCACCAUCAUGACAUCCAAUGCUCAUGUCUAUGGCACUUAUAACACUACACAAAUUCGAGUACGAGCAUCUCGUUAGAACUAGAGCAUAAGUUCCAAUCGGGAUUCCAAGUCCUAAUGUCCUGUACAUCAAGAAAAGCAGAAAAGUUUACUAUAUUAUAGGAACCUAAGCGAUUCAGCUAAUGCAAAAACCCUGAGUAAAAGGAUGAGGCUAGACUUGACUGGUCACAAUUUAGAGCUACAUCUGAACCCAAGAGAUACAAUCUUGCAAAUCCUUUUCCAUUAUAAGUCAUACCAUCAUUUGAACCAAAUGUCAAGUACUGUCAACUCACUGAAGAUGCAACAACUUCCGGAGAUGCAAAAACAAUUAGCCAAAGGAUACCCCGGCUCUCAUGCUGCAAACCUAGAUGCAUGCUAAUCAUGUACCUUAUACUCGAAUCACUUAAAUUCUCAAAUAACUUAAAUUCCCACAAUUAUUUGCUUAAAUCAAAGAAUAGAAUAGAAGCGCCAACAUGCAGAAACAGGGGUAAUGGGUAGGAGCUAGUGUAGAACCCUAAAGACAGGCAUACACAAUUUGUUAAAAGAUUCCCUUUUUCUCAAACUCAAAAUCUUCAUCCAUGAUAAACGUUGACCGAUUUGGACUAUCAUACAAGAGUCGUCCAUCUCAUUCACUUUAACAGGUAAUAACUAAUUUAACAACCCCUUGCAUUUCCAAUUAAUUUCACUCCUCCAUAAGUCUAAUACAUUUUCCUGUCGAGAGAAAAAUUCAUCUUAAUUUGCUAUUUAACUAUAGCAAGACAAACACAAGUCAUAUUUGGACGUAGAUUAAAUCUUCACCUCAAAAUUCAACUGCUGGAGAUUGGAACAUAAAUGGUUUUAUGUAUAUUUUUCACCUUGAUACCAUGAUAUCACAUAUAAUGCAAUUACCUAUUUAUAUAAAAACUUCUCAAUACAACCUCAAAGUUACAAGGUGUAACAGAAUAUAAUGGGACAAGUUCUUACUGUAACUAGAAAAUAGAAAAAUUAUGCAAAGAAUCACUCUGGUACUCUUCCCAGAUACAUGGCUUACCUACCCACUCACCAUUCUUGGAAAAGAAUCAAAUCGAGGGUUCGAACGAGAUCCAAUUUUUAGAUGUCUACCUCCUUAUCUCUGGUGUCCAAUUUAUCUAAGUUGCUCCGACAUGGCAGUUUAGGUGUCGUACCUGUGUCGACACGACGGUGUGGGUAUGAGAUCCGUACUGGAUCUGGUCAAACAAUUUCGGGUACUUUGACCACGACGGAUGAAAAAUUCGAGAUGAGAUACAAUUUGGUUCCCGAAAUCAGAAUCCUAAUAAUUAGGGUAAAGUUGAAGAAAAUAACAUACAUUUUCUAAGAAAUCAAUCCAUUACUUAUCUACAACUUGAGAAUAAAAAAGAAAUCCACACUUUACAAUCUAUACUUAAGUAUUUCACAUAAUUUCUCAUAAUUUAAAGACAUUUUUUAUAUAUUUUUUUUGAAUUAUUUUUAGCCGGAUCCCUGCACCCGUAUCCGUACUAGGAUCCGUAUUCCCGAAUCCUAGAAUUUACAUCUCGAAGGAUCCGAUCUCUAGAUCUGUACCCGUGUCGGACAUCCGUACGAGUGUCCGAGCAACUUAGCAAUUUAUAACCUUAGAUUCAUUAUAAAUUCGCUGACCUAUUAAACUGUAUCUAGCCAUAAAGAAAUUGCAGCCUUGUGAGAAACUAAGCACACAUGUGCACUUGCAAGUAAGUUACACACAAUGAGGGACAACUUUUAAAAAUAACACAUCGACAAUACCUAUACUACAACUGUAGCUAGUCAUCGUAAAAGAAUUUGAGCAUCAAAUCCAAAAUAGCAAGGCAAUGAGUGGAGUAACUUGAGAUCUUAUAAACCAUUUGGAUGCCAUAGGCUUUAUAUAACUCAACACCUUCCCGCACAUAUAACCUAAUUUUGGAAUUUACACUAUGGACUUUAAUAUGAACUUACUAGCGAGAAUGGAUUUGUCGAAAUUCGCUUCCGUACUAUGUUAAAGAAUUUGAGUACCGGCUCAAAAAUACUAAAGUAAUAUAUGAAUUACCCCAUAACCUUCAUAAACACCUACAUAUGCCCUUGUAUACUUGAAUUAGGACAUGUUAUAAACUAAACACUCAUUUACCAAACCAAAAAGUGGCCUUUUGCCUCGUCAUGCUAUCUCAAUGCAGUGAAAUUUAUAGUCAUCCAUUCCAAGCCCCAAGGGUUCUAUCUUGCACCAACAGAUGUGGUUGCAACCUUAAGUUGUAUUACUAGGUGAAUGAAAGUACUAGAUGACGAACCAAUAGUGUCAAUUGUCGUAAAAAAAAAUUAAAAUAAUAUAGUAAAUACAAUUCAAAAAUGACUGUGAAAAGGACUAAAUACUUUUACAAAAACAAAUAGACAUAUUUUACUUUUGUUUGCUUUUGAAAUAGUAUUUUUUUUUGGGGGGGGGGGGNNNNNNNNNNNNNNNNNNNNNNNNNNNNNNNNNNNNNNNNNNNNNNNNNNNNNNNNNNNNNNNNNNNNNNNNNNNNNNNNNNNNNNNNNNNNNNNNNNNNNNNNNNNNNNNNNNNNNNNNNNNNNNNNNNNNNNNNNNNNNNNNNNNNNNNNNNNNNNNNNNNNNNNNNNNNNNNNNNNNNNNNNNNNNNNNNNNNNNNNNNNNNNNNNNNNNNNNNNNNNNNNNNNNNNNNNNNNNNNNNNNNNNNNNNNNNNNNNNNNNNNNNNNNNNNNNNNNNNNNNNNNNNNNNNNNNNNNNNNNNNNNNNNNNNNNNNNNNNNNNNNNNNNNNNNNNNNNNNNNNNNNNNNNNNNNNNUUAACGUGAUAUAAAUGCUAGAAAGCAACAGCAGCUCAUUAUUUUCUUUAAACCAAUUUUGAAAGGCUUGUUAUGGCUUUUGAUAAGUGAAACGAUCUUAUUAACCUUGUCCUGUACCAUCACUAAAAGAGCAAGAGAUAUGUGUUAGAAGAUUAACUUAUCACUAUGCUUAGGCCACCAGAGAGAUGGGUCAUGAAAAAUAAAUCUAAGUAGCAUCUCCAGUGGAAUGUGGCAACAAAAGUUGAGCUUGGUUUGCUAGUAAUUCUGCAUUACUAUAGUCAUAACACAAAAAAUCAUCUAUUGAUUUCUCUCUUAUUGAAUAAAUUUACAAAUAGUAUUUCUUUUUUGUUGCAGUUUUGGCAGAGGGAAGCUGCAUUGCUGAGGCAACAACUAGAGAACCUGCAAGAGAAUCAUCGGUAAGCUCUUCUUAGCAUAAUUUUUCAUGUUGUGAGUGAAUAACUUAUCCAACUACCAAUAGGACUAAACUAAAGGCAUGUUGACCAUAUUGUUAAAUCCAUAGGGUUGGACUUAUUUUGGUAACUUGAUGCUCCUUGUAUUUUUAUUUUAGUUAGUGAAUCCCAAACCAAACCCCUCCACAGAGGCCAACAAUGGAACUUUCCACUUUCCCUUAGGUGACUCGAUCUCCAAACCUCUUGAUUGGAAUUGGAAUGUCCGUGCCCAAUUGGUGACUCGAAUGCCCUUAGUCUUGGUUGGAAUUGUAAUACUCUCCUGGUGGCACUAUUGAUUUUUGAGAAUUACAAGUGAAUUCCUUUGAGAUGAAGGUAGCCAUUAUCUAAUAUUGAAAUACUGCUCCUCACAGAAGUCAUCUCAUUUAAUAAACCGAAAUCUUUCCUUCUUUGACUUCUUUGAAUACCUAGUCCAUUUUACUUGGAAAGUUUUUUGAAGAACUGUCCCCAAAACAGAUUGUUUUCUUGAAAUCAAACAAAAAUGGUUUCCAAAAAACAAAGCAAUUUAAGGUAGUUUUUUUUCCACAAAACUAGCACAAAUAUUCUUAAAAGCAUAUUUCUCAAAGGUAAUAGUUAAUACAAAUACAUAACGUUUCCCCAAAUUACGGAACUUUCUCCAAAACCUAACUUCCAGGAAUUAAACCAAUAGCAAAUCAAAAUGUCACCUCAGAAUCUUCUAUUCCAUUGAGUAAUCUAUUGGAGCUUUUAUUGUUCCAGAAGAGAUGAAUUAUUCCUUCACUAAACUACUUGUUAUUUAACCGAUCCAAAAAAAAAACACUUGCUAUUUAGCUCUUAGCAAUUUAUCUCAAAAUUUUAUUGAAGUACUUUUUUUUUUAUAAGGUAAUGUAAAUUUCAUUUAAAAAGUACCAAGAAGAUACAGAAAGCAUACAAAACUUCAGCACUGCCGAAAACUAUUACAAUCUCAAAACUUCUAUAAAAUCAAUACUCUUAUUUAGGAAUUCCCCUCCCAAAUAAACUGACUUCCUCUCAGCAUUCCCCUCCCAAAGAAACUGACUUCUCAUGGAAUCAAAUUUCUUUUCCUCACUGACUGGGAUGGGGAAAAGAGACAUCAAAUAUGUAGGAAUUCCAUCCAGCACACUAUUAAUUAAAGUGAGCCUCCCACCUAAGGAUAGAUAUUGAAGUACUUUACCUCCUAAGCUAUCUUUUGAGCACUUUAAGCAUCCUUCUAUGAAAUGCAGGCCCUGACUCCAUUCCAUUGAAUUAUCCCGUAGCUAAGGGCACAAGUUUUCUUUGCUUUUCGUUUUUCUUCUUGCUUGUAUUUCCCAAACUCCACAAUCAAUAUCGCCUCCUUUCCUCUCCUUUUUCUUUUCUUUCUUCCUCCUCUCCCGCACCACCAAUAAACACCCUCAGUCCAUAGCUUAUUCUCCUUCUCAUUUUCCUCUCUACAUAUUGGUGUCAAAUAAAGAUAUAGAGAUAAAGAUAGAGAUAAAGAAAAAGAAAAAGGAAAGCCUUGAUAAGUUGUUUGCUUGUAGCGGGAUAGUGUUUAAAAGAAGAAGAGAAGAGUAGCGGGUAAGAGAUGAGCCAAGAUAAUAACCAAAAAGAGACUAUCAUGAAGGAAUAUAAAAUGGAAAAGUCUCCUUCACUGUAUGAUGAAAGGCUAAACUCAUGUAAAAAGUUGAGCAGGUAAUGUUUGGGAAAGUUCUAGUACUAGAUAGUUCAAGAAAACUACAUGCCUUACUGUUGUUUAUAAGUGGUAAUUCUCUCACUCUAUCUUCUCUCUAAUUCUCUUCUUCAUUAAAAGCCAGGUCUAAUAAAUCUCCUCCCAUCGCCAUCAGAAUCAAUAAGGAAACCAUUUGUUCCAAACUUUGCUUCUGCAAGCCAGGGCAUCGUUGCCACUCUUUCAGCCACAUAAAAAGCCAAAUAAUCUCCACAUCCUACAAUCGAGCGACCUACUAAUCCUGUGUUCAAGUGGACCUCCAAAAUAGGACCAAUUUUGGUGAUUCAUACAUGAUUUUGCUACGAACAUAUCCCAGCAGGACAUAGGGAUACUGGUUGUUAUAUUUAAUUCCAUCAUUACAAUCUUAGUUAUGGCUCAUACCAGAUUAUUAUGGAGCAAACCACAAUCAUAUCAAAUGGAGAUGUAAAGACGAAUGUUUAGAAAAUUCCACAUCAAAAUUGAAGCAACAGAAGAUGUGCAACAUUUGUCUUGUCUGCUCGAGAACAUACAUACAUAAAUGUUCGCUUCAAUGCAUUCACCGGUGCCAGAACAGAUAAAAGGUAUUCAUGUGUAAGGUCAUUGAGAUCAGGUUCACUGCAAAAUGAACGAACCCUGCAAUAACCUUUAGGGGAGAAUUAUUUUCUUUACGUCCCUUUUUCCCGGGGGGUUGUACUUAAUUGGAUUUAUAUAAUACUUAUCUUUUUGAAACUAAAUCUUAUGAAAGCCUCAGCUACCAGAAAAUUAUACAGACCUCAGUUGCCAGUGACAAAGUAACAUACAUUCAUCUACCAGUAUAGUUGUGUUGGAAUCAACAAAAUACCUACUAACUACGUCACGAAAUCUUUCCUGUUUCCUUAAAGUAACAACAUGGGAUAAUAAACUUUUUCACUUUAUUUGAAUAUAGUAUAAGAAGUUCUGAACUGUAAGGUAUAGCCUAUUUUAGUUACUUCUUGAGACACGGAUUUCUUUCCUCUGUACGGCACUUCUCUCAUGCUCAGGCAAUUAAAGAUAUUUUAUUUCCUAGCACAAAGAGAGAAAAACAGCAGCACAUAAACUAAACUUGUGCCAACAAAGGAAACUUCAAAGGUUCUACUAGAGGUAGGUGUGCAAUGUGUAGGGAUGCCCCUCUAUUAUCUUCAUGGAUGUUGACUUCCAAGGUACUUACUUAUGAAGCAGGAAUAACCAGAAAAAUUAGGCCUUAAUUUUCAACCACUUUUCCAGCAAACACUGAAGCGAACAGAUUAGAUAGCUUGAAACAUUUUAGUUUUGAAAUAAGAAUGCUCAAAAACCCAAAUGUCCACUCGAGACUCUCCCAAAAGUAUCAAAUCUGUAAGUGCUAACAGAAAGGCAUUUAAGAUCCUACCAGGCAGGUGGUGUUAGAAAAUGAAAGAGCGAUCUGGAGAAAAUUUUUUAACUUUGGGAACACCUAUUUAUGGGGUUGAAUAUAUUUCUCCAACAUGGGACAGUAUAGCUUAACAUUCUAGCCUGGCCUGCCCCUUUAAACUCAAGGUGGGAAACCAACUUAAGUCGCUUAUUUUGAAUAAAACUUGGAACAGAAUAAAUUUACCUGAACAAUGAAUAGAUUCCUGAAUGGUGAAUAAUUGCCAAAAAAUGAAUGGGAAGAGACACCAUAAGUCCAUACCCCCCCCCCCCCCACACACACACACACAAAAAAAGCCAGAGAAAGUUAUGGUUUAUGUGCAGCACACACAGAAGGAAACCUAUCCUCAAACACGAGAAAGAAAGGCACUAUGAAAAUUUUCCCAGACAUCACCAGUGUAGCAACCAACUCUUAAAGUGGCAGUUGAACAGUAACCAAGUGGUGCCUAAAGAGAACAACAACCGCAAUAUUGGCAGGAAAGAUGUCUACAAAAUUUCUUAUAGCAUGCAAGCCCAAAAUAGUGGCAGGAAAGAGAUGUGAUUCCAUGCCACUGAUUACCCCAAGAACAAUGAUGAGAAAAAUUUAAAAUCGUUAAAGGAAAAACUUUGGUAAGGUGGAUGUUGUUAGGGUCAGACAGCUGGACGAGAAAGUGACUUAGGUCUAUACUAUGAUCGUGGAGUCUCUCAUAACCAGCGAGAAUAUGAGAGAUAUUCUAACUAGGCAUUGAUAUAUUUAGAAGAAGAUACACAUACCUAUGGUGCAAUAAAACUUACACCAACAUUCUACCAAGUGUUGCAUAACAAUAAAAAAGGAUGAGGCAUUCCCGUCGAAAUAUACUUCUUGAAAUACAUUCACUACCCUUAAUCGAUCAAGGGAAACUCAAAUGACUAGCCACUGUAUUCCCUCGACAAGAAUUAUAUUAAGCAACAAUUCACAAUGAACACAGAAUCUCAUAUUAAUAAACUGUUAGCAUGGACUUAAAUGGAAAACCACCUUAUACUUAAUAUAUUACAGUACAAGGUAAACGGGCGGGUAGGAUAUGGUUCGGGUCAAAAACGGGUAAUAAAAAUGAAUAAAUUAUCCAACCCGACCCAUAUUUAAUACGGAUAAAAAACGGGUUAACCGGCGGAUAAUAUGGGUAACCAUAUUAUCCAUGACUUCUUGCAUAUGAUCAAUUUUGGGAGAAUUCUUAGUCUCCCUAACUUGAGGAACCCCCAAUUUGAGGUUUUACAAAUGUAAAAGUUAGACACAUUGGUUAUCCAUUGGUUAUCCAUUUUGUAAAUGGAUAAUAUGGUUCUUAUCCAUAUUUGAUCCGUUUUUAAAAAGUUUAUUAUCCAACCCAUUUUUUAGUGAUAAUAUGGGUGGUUAACUGUUUUCUUUUAACCAUUUUGCUACCCCUAAUUAUAACAAUUACUCUAUAGUAAAUCAGAUGCAGAUCUGGGAGGACUGCACAUGAUGUGCCUCACCAGUAUAAGCUUACAAAACCACUAAAGUUGGAGACUGUGACCUAAUCAUUGAUAAGCUAAUAUCAUAUGGUAUUGCGGAUAUCUGUGGGAGCUCAAACUGUCAAGUUCGUCACACCAAAACACCACGUAUUGUGUAGCUAUAGCUUUUUUUUUCUUUUUUUAUAAGUCAAUAUAGUUACUUCUAGAAGCGAAAUGAAUACUGCUAGUCUGUAGUUAAGUCAUGGAUAUUAUGUUAAAGGCCUAGAUUGGCUUAAAAGAUUGUUUCUCCUGCAGACAAAUGAUGGGUGAAGAGCUAUCUGGACUGAAUGUCAAAGAUUUACAAAACUUGGAGAAGCAACUCGAAAUGAGUCUUCGUGGAGUCCGUAUGAGAAAGGUAUGAACUUUCACCUCCAAAUGUCCCAUAUAUUAUUGUGUAUAAAUAGUACUGACGACCACUACUUUCUGUAGGACCAAAUUAUGAUUGAUGAGGUGCAAGAACUAAACCAAAAGGUCAACCACAUAACUGCAGCCACUUGUUGUCAUUAUCCUAUGAAUUUCUCUGAGAAGCUAAACUCCAUCUGUUUCAAUGCAGGGAAAUCUCAGCCAUCAAGAAAACAUGGAACUUUAUAAGAAGCUAGACCUAGCUCGUCAAGAAAAUACGGAAUUGUAUAAGAAGGUAUCGAUGUAUAUCCCUAGAAAAGAUUUCACUUACGCUAGUAGAUAAUAAUUUCCUAGUGUAUUAAAAAUCAAGACGAAAAACUUUAGUCAUUCUGCUUCAAAAAAAUUUCAUGUUCUGCCGGAAAUCAGGUUUAUGGAACUAGAGAUGCAAAUGCAGUGAGCAGAAAUGCCAUGAGUUCAAACAGUUUACGCGUCAAUGAGGACCCUCAUGCACCUCUCCAUCUCCAGCUAAGCCAGCCUCAGCAACAACACUAUGAAACACCAGGAACUACAAAAUUGGGGUAAUUUUCACGUCCAUAUAAUUUGAAUGCACCAAACAAACUCCCACUAUCUGGACCCUUGAUUCUUGUCUAACUGGAAUGCUGCAGGCUAUCACUGCAUUAGUGGAGUUGAUGCAGACUGCCAUUAAGCUCUCUUCUCGAUCAAGUACUCCAUGCUCACGAAUAUAUGUUAAAAUUAUUAAGGACUGGUAUAGAACCCGUAGAUGUAAGGGGAAAAUUGGUCAAUUGACCUGGUAAAUGCUAGCAAGUUGGUAUGUAAUAGGUAUCCACAAAACAGCCACCCAAAUCAUGUUUAACUAUGAAUAAAGAAAAUGUUAGCACAGUUAAUGUUCUUUGACUGUCUUGAUACUUCAUGCUUAUGAUGCAUAUGCCUAUUAGUUAGGAAUGCACUUAAUCUGACAGAUUAAAGCUAAAUAUAAAUACUAUGCAGAAAAACUUAUGCAGACAACAGUAGCAUCUCAGAUAAAAUACUCGAGAAAAGCACCAGAAGCAAACAGAAUAAGAGCAGACCAAAAAACUGACCAAAGAGUACACUAAGAUAUACCUAAAAGCUGCAUCAAUAUGCAUUGCAAAAGCAUCAUCAAGGAGAUACUAAACUCAUAUUCACAUCCAUGCCGACUUUCAGCAUCUACCUAGAAAAAGAACAUGUAACAGUAAUAUUGGUAAAGUCCUACCCAGCAAAGAUGAAAAACAUCAGUUAAUGAAUUCUUAUAGUGGUAGGUCACUGAAAAAGAAGAAAAGAAUGAACUACAUGAAAGACUAAAUGAUGGGGAAAUAUGCACGGCGAGAAUUAGAUCAGUUCAGUGCACGAGAUAUGCCCCGUAAAAGUGAUCACCACAUUCUUAGCUAGUUAAAGUGUUGCUUAAAUGAAGUCAUUUUCUGGAUUCCAAAGAUAUCGGACUGGCAUCCAAUAAAUGCCAUCUCAAUGUACUACAAAAGCCAAAGUUACCAUAGAAAUUUCAGUUUACUAUCACAAGUUUGAGAUUUGGUUCAAAAUGCCAUCUCUAUUGAGAUAAUCCGCCACUCAAGUGAAAUUGCAUGUCAUCCUAGAGUUAAACAAUAUGGCAAAAACUAUUUUUACCCCUAGCCACUAUUCUGGAAAGCUAGAGUAGACAAUCACGUUUCUAAUAAUUUUCAUGGGCAAGGAGUGAUGGAUGAAAAGCAGCAUGGAUAGAGAAGCACGUGCCAUUUUUUUCAUUUUAAUUUUUUCAUCACUUAACCAUGCAAAAUAAUGAGCAGCCCGAAUGGCAUCCCAUAAGAUGCGUGACUUCAUCAUGUGACAAAUUAACUGAAGUUGAUAUGGAGAUGAACACAAUGGAUUAACAUCCAUAUCUCAGGAAAAAAUCGAAGAAUUGUUUCAAGGGUACUAAGAUACUACAAGAAACUGAUGAAACAAUUACUAUUUAUUGACUUGAAUAUGUGGACUCUGCCUCAAAUAAUUCGUCAUAACUUUUUUUUAUCAAGAAUCAAUUCAGCCAAAUUUCGGUUAAGACAAAGAAAAUGCAAAAACAAAACAGUAAUCUCAAACAUUUUAUACAGGACAAAUAUAUUCUGAAACUAUGUGAAAGUGAAUUAUAUGCUAACAUAAGUUUGAACUUUAAGGUGUUUAACAUAUGUUAAAUACAAAAAAAUCAAAAUUUUUAGUGAUCCGAUAACAUCAACAUCUACUACAAUAAUGGUACUACAAUAAUAACAUCAACAUCUACUAUUUAUUGACUUGAAUAUGUGGCCUCUGCCUCAAAUAAUUCGUCAUAACUUUUUUUUAUCAAGAAUCAAUUCAGCCAAAUUUCGAUUAAGACAAAAAAAAAAUGCAAAAACAAAACAGUAAUCUCAAACAUUUUAUACAGGACAAAUAUAUUCUGAAACUAUGUGAAAGUGAAUUAUAUGCUCACAGAAGUUUGAACUUUAAGGUGUUUAACAUAUGUUAAAUACAAAAAAGUCAAAAAUUUUAAAAGGAUAUAACUAUCGAUUAGUAUUGUAUGAUGCAAUUAAAUUUAUAAUCUAGUCAAAAUAUAACAAUACAUCCAAAAAAAUUCACGGCAUCAUGAACUAUGCACACACCUUAUCACAAGAGUCCACAUCUAUAAAAAGCUUUCCAAAAGGAAGUAUAGCAAAGACAAAGGUUAGGUGUUGCUUCUUGUCCUAGCAUGUGGUUUAUACUUACGUAUAAGGUAAAAUGCAUUUACUUUAAUAAUAUGGGAGCAACAUUUUCUAAGAGAAAAUAUAAACAGGUAAUACUAAUAGGAUCACUAAGAUUUUGCCAUCUUAUGUGAUCCGAUAACAUCAACAUCUACUACAAUAAUGGUACCUCAGCCCUCUUUGUUUCUACCUACCAAUAUGAAUCAAUUUCCCAAAUUCAGGCAAUAGGAUCAUGUGGUCAGAAUCAAAAUUUUAACAACAUAUAGUAAACUAGAACUUAACUAUGGAUUGGAAUAGGGAGAAACACAAAUUGAAUGAAAAACCAAACUACACCACUUUCCGAAGAUCUUUUCCUUCUCUCGUGAAUCAAACAUCAAUUGCAACGAUUUGAUGGAUGACUCAUUUGGAUAGAUGUAGAUGACCCCCCCCUCCCCCCGAAAAAAAACCCUCUAGAGACAUAGUAAGAAGUUUUCUCCUCAUACUGCUCAAGAAAAAUGAUUGAUUCGAGGUUUGGUCGGUGUAAUCUGUAUGGAAUUCUAUCUAAUAAACGACAAAUGGGUCCAUAAAUUGAAUGCAAACACAUAACUUUGGGCAUCAUAUUAGUUACUGAGAAGCAAAAAUUUCCAUGGUUUAACUUUAGAUUUUUUUGUGUGGAGCAAGAAAGUAUUUAAACAAAUAAAUUAACUAUACAAGAUGAAUUCUUACUUGCAAUGAAGAAGCCUAAUUUAUUUAUUUAUUUAUUUUCAUGAUGGUGGUUUGUGGAGCAACUUAGAGUGCGUUUGGGCAUAAAAAAAAAUUCCUUUUUUUCCGAAAAAAUUUCACUUUUUUCGAAAUCAGCGUUUGUUCGUAAAAUUUUCAAUUUUCACUUGAAGAUGCAUUUUGGAAAUUUUUGAAAAUUUGAAAACUCUAAAAAGUUGUUUUUCAAAAUUUUCACUCAAAUCACUCACAAAACUUCAAAAACAACCCAAACUGAAAUUUUAUGUCCAAACACAACUCUAAAUUUCAAAUACCAUUUUCACUUGAAAAAAAAUUUCACCAUUUUUUGGAAUUUUACAAUUCUUAUGUCCAAACGCCUACUUAGGCCAUCUUGACUAAUUCAUCGGGUUUAUGUUAUCUCCCACCAACAUAGGUGUCAGAUAAUUCGCACAAAGAACUCACCUAGUGUCGUCUUUGCUGGAGUCGAACAUUGGUUCUCAAUUUUGUCACUCCAACUCUUUGAUGGCAAGACGACUCCCCUUUGAAGCUAUAGGGGCCUUAUUUCAUUAUAGCGCAAGAAUAAAGAAAGACCAAAGAUCUGAUAUAAUCAAUAUAGGGAAAGUCUAUUGGAUUACGAGAUCCUACAUCACUAACUUGAAGGAAAAAAAAAACUUGCAAUAUGUCAAAGACUCCCAAUCAAGGGUACCUUGGCGUCGAAAAGUUUACUAGAUGCGAGUUGGUAUUCUAGUCCAUCUUCUAGUACCAGACCAUUGUUGUGAAGCUGCCCGUGUUCUUUUAAUAUGUGAAGCCACUUGAAGUUACAUGGGCUCGUACCAUCGGCGGAUUGAAUGUACAUGUUGUGAGUUCUAAAAGAUAUAUAUCUAACUCUAUCUAUACUUGGUUUUCUUUCUAUACUUGUUUUUCAUACAUAGAGUUCGUGAGUUAACAUAUUUCCAAAGGAUUAUUAUUUCAGAUAAUGUCCACAGGAAGGAAAAUGCACCACCUACACAACCAUAUAGCAGAGCACCAAGAUUAUACCACACAGGCAUAAAGCAUGAUUAUCUCCUGCUCUAACGUACAACCAUUUUAUAUAUCAAUAUAUGGUUCUUCAAACUGGAAUGAUAUAUCAAUAGCAAUAAACGAAACAGAAAAACAAACAAAAAAAAAGAAAAGUUUACAUGUGACAACAAAUAUGCAGGCACCAAAUAUUCAACAACCAUCAGUACUGUACCACUAGUAAAACUAAUACUCCAGUACUCCUAAAGCUUAACAUUGAAUACAAAAAUGAUGCUUCUUAGAAUCCUUAAAGAAAUGAAACUCCAACAACUCUGAGCACAGGUGGAUCCAACCCUCGGGUUUGAACAUAUGUGUGUGUGCGCGCGCUCUCUCUCUCACUGAAUUCAAAACUGAAUCAACAUAUGUGAGUAAGCUAGAGUUUUUACGAGCAAAAAGUAAUAAAACUAAAUAGUGCGUGCUACAAAAGCAAAUUAUUUGAUCGACUACUAUACAAUGAAAGAAGCGACAUAACGGACCUGAAAAAACGAAGCGAUGGCUUUUCCGUAGUUGCUAAAGUCGUGAUUACAAAUGAUGUAUAUUUCCCAACUUAAGAUCUGCAAAAGUUCCAAAAAGAAACAAAACAUUAAAAUAAAAAGGGAUACAAGUUAACAAAAAUUAUGUUACUAGCAAAAGAAUUAUGUAAAAAGCCUAAAGAUAUUGAAUUUCGCAUUUGUGAUGUCAGCUGUGUUCUCUUGCGGAGCUUUUCUCAGGAAAUAAACAGCAAAAGCUGAAUUGAAUCACGCCAUUAGCAUGCAUUACAAUUUCAUAUAGUGAUUGAUUGAACGAAAGAAGAAGAACGUUUAACAGAAAUUGCAAUUGCGUACUAAAUCAAACAAAUUGAGUAGAAGAUGUACGGAAUUUUGAAGAAAGAGAGAAGGAUUUUCGAUUGCAUUUCGCUUCAGAAAGGGAGACAGGAAGAGUUGCGUUAAUACCUAACAGUAAAAGAGGUUCGAUAGAGAUGGCGAGAGCGGUCAGAGAAGAUUGAAUGGGCAG